rnacentral:rRNA from 1 species
GCAUAUCAAUAAGCGGAGGAAAAGAAACCAACAGGGAUUGCCUUAGUAACGGCGAGUGAAGCGGCAAUAGCUCAAAUUUGAAAGCUGGCCCUUUCAGGGUCCGCGUUGUAAUUUGUAGAGGAUGAUUCGGCGAGGGCUCCCGCCUAAGUCCCCUGGAACGGGGCGUCAUAGAGGGUGAGAAUCCCGUAUGUGGUGGGCUGCCUUAGCCAUGUGAAUCUCCUUCGACGAGUCGAGUUGUUUGGGAAUGCAGCUCUAAAUGGGAGGUAAAUUUCUUCUAAAGCUAAAUACCGGCCAGAGACCGAUAGCGCACAAGUAGAGUGAUCGAAAGAUGAAAAGCACUUUGGAAAGAGAGUUAAAAAGUACGUGAAAUUGUUGAAAGGGAAGCGCUUGCAACCAGACUUGUCCGCAGUUGCUCAGCCGGUCUCCUGACCGGCGUACUCUUCUGCGGCCAGGCCAGCAUCAGUUCGGGCGGUCGGAUAAAGACCUCGGGAAUGUAGCUCCUCUCGGGGAGUGUUAUAGCCCGGGGUGGAAUGCGGCCAGCCUGGACUGAGGAUCUCGCUUCGGCAAGGAUGCUGGCGUAAUGGUUGUAAGCGGCCCGUCUUGAAACACGGACC